rfam:Trichuris trichiura, WGS project CBXK01000000 data, contig: TTRE_1637
CAAACGGCCCUUUUCAGGGCCCACAAAUUUAACGCAACGAAUCGG